rnacentral:tRNA from 1 species
GACCUCGUAGUUCUGCUGGUAGGGUGUACGCUAUAGAAAAGUGUAGGUGGCAUCCAUGCGUGGGUUCAAGUCCCACCGAGGCUA